AGGAGUUUGAUCCUGGCUCANAUUGAACGCUGGCGGCAUGCCUUACACAUGCAAGUCGAACGGCAGCACGGGAGCAAUCCUGGUGGCGAGUGGCGAACGGGUGAGUAAUAUAUCGGAACGUGCCCAGUCGUGGGGGAUAACGCAGCGAAAGCUGUGCUAAUACCGCAUACGAUCUACGGAUGAAAGCGGGGGAUCGCAAGACCUCGCGCGAUUGGAGCGGCCGAUAUCAGAUUAGCUAGUUGGUGGGGUAAAAGCCCACCAAGGCGACGAUCUGUAGCUGGUCUGAGAGGACGACCAGCCACACUGGAACUGAGACACGGUCCAGACUCCUACGGGAGGCAGCAGUGGGGAAUUUUGGACAAUGGGCGCAAGCCUGAUCCAGCAAUGCCGCGUGCAGGAUGAAGGCCUUCGGGUUGUAAACUGCUUUUGUACGGAACGAAACGGUCUGCCCUAAUACGGCGGGCUAAUGACGGUACCGUAAGAAUAAGCACCGGCUAACUACGUGCCAGCAGCCGCGGUAAUAC
rnacentral:rRNA from 1 species